rnacentral:lncRNA from 1 species
GGGGGGAGCUCCCGCGCCGGGCGGCCCGCAACCCCCGCGCCCCACGCAGCUGUGGGUGAGAUUGACAGCGACCUGAUAGGAUUUAUUCUGCUGUUUUUAAUGCUCAAGAAGUGUUUCGUGUGAAGUAUUGGGAUGCUAUUAGAGAAAAUUUAAGUGUGUAUAUUGUGUAAAUUACCUAUACAACAUCUGUUAUCAUGCACUUUUUCUUUUUAACACCGAGAAGCGGCGUCAGAUGUCUGCAGUGCUUGGAGCUGCUCUGUCGUCAGCGGCAGGAAGUUUAGACCGGGGCAUCCACAGGAUGUUCUUUUUCAUCACCACCAGCUACAGAGAACAAGUGAUAAAUAACAGCGCCUGCAUGCACGGUCACAUACAUUUCCUCACGUAACAAUAGCCCUGAAUAUGCAGGAAGCAAGACCCAUUUGAAGCUGGGAUCAGAGAGACGUUCUCUGGCUUUUGAUGGAGAGGUCGUUGCCUUACAGAGACCCAGCCAGUGACCUUGGCUCCCAGCGCCAGCUUCUGCCAAAGAAGCCCCUGGCUCAGACCACUACGUUAGGCCAAGGAAAUCCCUUGACGACAUCUGUCCCCAGCACGGAAUCAAACUAUUAUUCAAAGGACAAACCGUCUCUUAUUAAUUAGAAGAAAUCCUAGAAGCAGCCUUGUGCACAAGGGCACGCAAGGCUUUUACUUCUCCCUUGUUGGGACACUUUGGUGAAGUACAAAAGACCGGCCCUCCCACUCGGCGCUGUUACUGAAAUGAGCUCCUUCGGAGGAGCUGUCCCAUCCCAUCCUUGGCUCCACGGACCUUGUUAUUUCAGUUCGUGGGAUGGGAAGCAAGGAUUGGGGAGAGGACCUUUAGUUCCCAGUGGGAAUUGAAUGUUCAGAAGGCAGGAGAAAAGUAAGUCGAGAAACCUCACUGUGUUUUCUACACCUCCCCUCCCACCAUCCUUCUGGUUUCCUUGCUCUGGCGGCCGCGGGCCUCUCUCCCAUCACCCCUCUUCAGUCUUUGCUGAUAGCAGGAAUGGUAGCUGCAGAGUCGCUGCCGGAGCCCCUGGCCUCUCUGUUCUUCCUGGAAGCCUUCCUCAGGCACCAGUCCUUCUUUCCGCCUUGCCUUUUGACCCGCACAGUAAAACAGACCUGACGAGGUUGACGAGGGACAACGGUGAGUUUCCCUUACCAGCUUUCGACUGGCCAGAGAUGCAAGCAGAUGUGGGGUGCACAUUACUAAAUCUUUGGAGUCCUCAUUCUUCCGCGCCCCAUCAUGGAGCUAUCAGCACCACCAUUUUACAGAUGAGGAAACUGAGAAAAUCAUACAGCUAAGUGACAGACACAAGAUUCAAACCAGGUGUCUCUGACAUUAGAGCAGAAUCUCUUUAGUCCUGUGCUAUACUGCCUCCAUUAAAAAUCAUGUUUGAGGGGCUGGCCCCGUGGCCGAGUGGUUGGGUUCGCGCGCUCC